rnacentral:rRNA from 1 species
UACGAAGGGUGCAAGCGUUACUCGGAAUUACUGGGCGUAAAGCGUGCGUAGGUGGUUUGUUAAGUCUGAUGUGAAAGCCCUGGGCUCAACCUGGGAAUUGCAUUGGAUACUGGCAGGCUAGAGUGCGGUAGAGGAUGGCGGAAUUCCCGGUGUAGCAGUGAAAUGCGUAGAGAUCGGGAGGAACAUCUGUGGCGAAGGCGGCCAUCUGGACCAGCACUGACACUGAGGCACGAAAGCGUGGGAGCAACAGGAUUAGAAACCGAGU